ensembl:lncRNA
CAGGAUUAGAGGUGAAGAGAGAAGUAAUGACAUCUGAUCCAACUUCCCUUGGGGAAAGGAGACACCCAUUUCCAUUUAAUCCUCACAGACAUCCCUUUCCUGGUGAUGCAGCUGUUCUUCAAGAAGGUGGGAUGAAUUUGGAGGCUGAGAGGCUCCCAAAUGAGAUGUCCAUGUUUUAGAUAUCCCUGUGGAUAACCAAUUUAGAAGUGUCCUUAUCAGAGCUAGGCGGAAGCAGAGGUGUUGAGAUUUAAUAGACGAAAACUAGGAGUUGAGAUCAGAGUUACAACUGAGCUGAAACCAUCCAGGGUAACGUGCACCCAAAACCCUCACUACAAAUCAGGGAUCACUACAGAAUGGCUGUUGGCUUCAUCUCAGUUUGAUCUGAAGGAACUAAGUGUGGAAAAACAUUCAUGGUGGUCUCAGCGUUGAGAGGGUGAGCUCUGUCUCUAGCUCUUGUGGUUUUAGUGGCCGUGUGUCUUACUCAUCCUUCUGGCGAGCUGUGCCUGGGGACGCAGAGCCUCUGGGCGGCUGAUGCACACUACUUAUGGAAAAGUACUCAAGGCAGAAAGGUUUGAAGUGCCGAGGGCUUUUACAGGUGUGUGUUUGUAGCCUCGUAAAGUGGUUUGGGUUGGAAGGGACCUUAAAGCCCACCCAGUUCCAACCCCCUGCCUCAGGCAGGGUUGCCACCCACUAGAGCAGGUUGCCCAGGGCAAUGUGUUCUGCAAGAAGGGUAAUGAAAUGGUGUGCUCUGUGCGGCACGCCUCUGAAGACGCAGAGUCCUUUCACAUUAUUAGCCCCCUUCACCUGUGGAAAGACAGCCAUCAUUCCUAUUCUUCUAGGACAUUUUUGAACACCUGGAGCGUGUCCCAGCUGUCCAGAGCCCAGCACUACACCAGGGCUGUUCCUGUGGAAAGAAACUGAGCUGUUCCAGGCUCCUGUCGCCACCAAACCCUCAGGGACAGUGCUCCGCCAUGUCCAUCAGCCAGGCAGUAAAUGUAUUUCCACACAAGCUGGAAAACAGAGAUUUUUCCUCUGAGAAACCUUCACAACAGGACAGAGCAACAUGAGAGGAGGAUAAGAAGCAUGCAUGCUUUUAAUACCACAAACCAAGCAUGAAGAUAAGACUUGUUCUGUCUUUGGAGCUUCCCAAGUGAGGGGGGAGCUUGCAGCAAGGCCCACUGUCAAGGUAGGAGGAUUUAAUGCUGCUUGACAGGGCUUCCCCAAUGGGCUCGCGCUGCGCACCAACGCUCUGUUCGCUCCCAUAUGGAACAGAUGCUGUUGUUAUUGCUGCUCAGAGGCAGCACUGAGAUUAGCAGUUAUGUACAGAUAUUUCCCCGGCAUUACAUAACCCGUGUAUUUAACACGCACUAAAUUUUCAUUGCAAAUUGGCUGCUGUGGGGACACUCGCAUUUAUAAAAAGCCAUUUCCUUCCCAAGACGUGUAGUUAUGCUGUAGCCGUGGUUUAGAUCUGAUCAUGAAAGGCGUACUUGAGAAUAAAGUGCAUGUGGGACUGUGGGAUCUCAUCACUUAAAACAAAAUUAGAAGUCCCAGGGCUCAUCAUUAGUUUUUCAAGCAUGGAACAGCUACAAACCGUUUCACGUUCACCUCUGAGCAGCAACGCAACGCUGUACACAGUACGAUGCUGAAAAGAUGUGUGCAGUGGAUCACACAAACUUCUUCACCACGCGUCUAC